rnacentral:rRNA from 1 species
AGUGAACGCUGGCGGUAGGCCUAACACAUGCGAGUCGAACGGCAGCACAGUAAGAGCUUGCUCUUACGGGUGGCGAGUGGCGGACGGGUGAGGAAUACAUCGGAAUCUACUUUUUCGUGGGGGAUAACGUAGGGAAACUUACGCUAAUACCGCAUACGACCUACGGGUGAAAGCAGGGGAUCUUCGGACCUUGCGCGAUUGAAUGCGCCGAUGUCGGAUUAGCUGGUUGGCGGGGUAAAGGCCCACCAAGGCGACGAUCCGUAGCUGGUCUGAGAGGAUGAUCAGCCACACUGGAACUGAGACACGGUCGAGACUCCUACGGGAGGCAGCAGUGGGGAAUAUUGGACAAUGGGCGCAAGCCUGAUCCAGCCAUACCGCGUGGGUGAAGAAGGCCUUCGGGUUGUAAAGCCCUUUUGUUGGGAAAGAAAAGCAGCAGGUUAAUACCCCGCUGUUCUGACGGUACCCAAAGAAUAAGCACCGGCUAACUUCGUG